rnacentral:lncRNA from 1 species
CUACUAAGUACUUAUCAGGAUUAAACGAAUUACUUAGUAAGUUCCUAGUAAGUUUUCAAAAACAAAACAAGUAUAAAUAAUCGUCUUUGUUAUACGCCAUCUUUUGUUUAUUUACACGGAAAACAAGUCAGCCAUAAAACAGCUUUUUUAGAUUCAAUAGUUUUACUAAUUAAUAUUUGUAAUUCUAUAAGGAAAAAGCUCAAGAACAUCUGGGGAUGAUUGCGUGGUUUGCAGUUUAUUUGAUGAAUAUUUGUUAAUGUGUUAUAAUGUGGUUUUAAAUGUUAAUUUUAACUCAAUAUAAAUUCGAGCAUUUUCUGUUGUAUCAAUUCGAGCAUUUUCUGAUUCAUAGUGAUAUCUACAGUUAUGGUCGUAAAAGAUUAAGAAAAAUCUUAUGGGUGCAAUUAUUCCACUGACACCUGCGAAAUUACCAAAAGAACUGACCAUCGCUGUUUAUUGUAUUUUUUUAAAUGUUCUAGUUAAACAAUCUAACACUUAA